rnacentral:lncRNA from 1 species
GCAGCUGCAAAGCUGGUUUGUCUGGGACCUGCAAACAUAUAAGUGCCGUACUGUUAAAAUGCACAAGGACCGAUAUUCUUUCACUAGAGAAGUUAUCUUCUACUGAUGUCAAAUGCUACUGGACCGACAACAAACGAAAAGUGGGGCAGGAUUAUGAACCCCAACAACUACUUGAAACAGCAUGUUUCAUUAAAAAAAAAAUUCCACAGUUGACUUAACAGCAGAACAAGGCGAAUACUGUUUCGAAACAUUGACUAAGCUUUGUAAAGAUUCUGGGUUAAGUAAGCAUUUAAAAGGACGAUCGACACAGCUAAACAAAGUCAACGGCAUCAAUACCAAUCAAUACUAUUCUUGUGAAAAUCGUCAAAAUAUUAUGGAUAAGAUGGAAAAUUCCCAAUUUUUGGAUUCUCUAAAUAUUAAAAUUUUUGAUUUUUAUGUCAGAGCCUGCUGUAAAAAAGUAUUGAAAAACGAAGUACUUACCAUCGAAAAAUAUGAAGAAAUAAUGAAUUCUCCUCAAAAAUCUGCAAUUUGGUAUGAAGAGAGACAAUUACGACUAACGGGCUCAAGAUGUUACGCAGUUUACACAUUUUCCAAAGCUGACUGGUCGGAAAAAGCAAAAAACUUUUUUUGGCCUAAGGAGCUUUCAAAUAAGUACGUCGAACACGGUCUAAAGUAUAAGUCGGAGGCAUUAGAAGAGUAUAAAAUUAUAACCAAGUAUGAUGUUCGUCAGCUUGGUUUAAUUAUUUGCAAAAAUUUCCAUUUCUGGAUUAUUCACCCGAUGGUGUUGUUUUGGUUCAGGCUCAUUCUACUAGGCUAAUAGAAAUCAAAUGUCCAUAUGAAGGUGCAUAAUUUUAGGUAUUUGUUUAAUACUUAAAUGUUUAUUAACAUUAUUUGUUUGUUUUUAGGUAUUGAAAAAGAUGCCAUCAGCUUUGUAGAGACUUGUUCAUUUCUGGAAUUAAGUGAUACUAGAAUGACAAUAAAAAAGAAGCACCAAUAUUAUGGACAAGUCCAGCUUGGGAUGGCCAUUUUAAAUUUAGAAAUUUGUGAUGUUUUGGUGUAUUCUUCAAAAUCAAAAUCUUUUUUGAACAUUGUUGUGCCAUUCGAUAAAGAUUUUGCUGCGGAUUUGAUACACACAAUAACACAAAAAUAUUUUAACAAUCUGCUUCAUUUUGUCUGUGAACAAAAUAGAACAUUGUGAAAUAGUAUAAAUAUAUUAAUUAUUAAUUGGCACAUUUUAUUUCAAUUUAUUAAACACCUAAAAGUAUGGGGUGUGUGCAAACAUUAUGUGUACACACUCAUAUAUA